GGAUGGAAUACAAUGUGGUUAUUAUGUUAUGAAGAUUAUUCAGAGUUUCAUGACGGUUGUUAAUCCUGCAAGUUUUUUGAAAAAUCAUUUCAAGUUAGACGCUCCCUAUAGUAACGAGGAGAUCAAUGCCGUACGGGAUGAGUUGGCCGAAUUUGUGAAGCCAUUGAUUAUAGAUUAAGUACUUAAGGUUACUACACUUUUGAUAUAAUACAUGAGUAACAAGUUUUAUGAUUAUUGUUAUCUUUUGCAUAUAUUAUUAGUUUAUAUUUAGUUUACAAUAUACAUGGAAUUUAAGUUUUAGAAUCGAUUUUAUUAACAAUUUUGGUAUUGUGUGAUUAGUUAAUAGAAUCGAUUACUAAUUUAAUAUAAGUUUCAAAAAUGUUAUUUUAAUU